CUCUCUCCAUCGCAGCGCUGUCGCCGUUUGUCGUAGCUCGAGGGCCUGUCGCCGUUUGCAGACCAUCGCAGCCCGAGGGCCCAUCGUUGUUUGUUCACUAACCGUCACAACCAAGGGCCCGUGCCGUUCAUUCGCAAAACCCGUCACAAUCACAACCCCUUGCCUUUGCCGUCACCAUUGAGCAUUCUUCGAUGUGAUGGUCCACCUAACCGUCCAUUUACCAAAGGAGGCUAAAAUUGGAGGAUCAGUGCAAUAUCAUUUGAUGUAUCCUAUGGAGAGGUUCUUGUCCACUUUGAAGGGGUAUGUGCGCAAUAAGGCAUGAUUGGAAGGUUCAAUCAUUGAGGCAUACAUUGACAGUGAAUGUCUUGCAUUUUGCUCAAUGUAUCUACAUGAUAUUGAGACAAGGUUCACUCAUGAUGAGCGAAAUGAAGAUGUUCAUGUUAUUAAUGCUGAAGAUGAAGAACCUAGCAUCUCUAUAUUUUGAGGAAAUUUUUGACCAUUCG